rnacentral:rRNA from 1 species
UACGUAGGGGGCAAGCGUUGUCCGGAUUCAUUGGGCGUAAAGAGCGUGUAGGCGGCCAGGUAGGUCGGUUGUGAAAACUGGAGGCUCAACCUUCAGAGGUCGACCGAAACCAUCUGGCUAGAGUCCGGGAGAGGAGAGUGGAAUUCCUGGUGUAGCGGUGAAAUGCGCAGAUAUCAGGAAGAACACCCCGUGGCGAAAAGCGGCUCUCUGGAACGGUACUGACGCUGAGACGCGAAAGCGUGGGGAGCGAACAGG